rnacentral:rRNA from 1 species
AGAGGUUGAUCCUGGCUCAGAUUGAACGCUGGCGGCGUGGAUUAGGCAUGCAAGUCGAACGGGAUCGUUUUGAUUCAAUUCUUCGGAAAAGAAACAGGACGUGAGAGUGGCGAACGGGUGAGUAAUGCUUGAGCAAUCUGCCCUUAAGUCCGGGACAGCCCGCGGAAACGCGGAUUAAUACCGGAUGUGUUCGGAUGCCGCAUGGCAUCCUGUGUAAAGGUGGGGAUCUUCGGACCUGCCGCUUAAGGAUGAGCUCAAGUCCUAUCAGCUUGUUGGUGAGGUAAUGGCUCACCAAGGCAUUGACGGGUAGCCGGCCUGAGAGGGUGACCGGCCACACUGGGACUGAGACACUGCCCAGACUCCUACGGGAGGCUGCGGUCGAGAAUCAUUCGCAAUGCACGAAAGUGUGACGAUGCGACGCCGCGUGGAGGACGAAGGCCUUAGGGUUGUAAACUCCUGUCAGCAGGGAGCAAGAGUCAAGCGGUUAACACCCGCAGGGCUUGAUAGUACCUGCAGAGGAAGUCACGGCUAACUCUGUGCCAGCAGCCGCGGUAAUACAGAGGUGGCAAGCGUUAAUCGGAUUUACUGGGCGUAAAGGGUCCGCAGGCGGUCGGGUGUGUCAAAUGUGAAAUCUCACGGCUUAACCGUGAAACGGCAUUCGAAACUACCCGACUAGAGUACUGGAGGGGAGAAGGGAACACUUGGUGUAGCGGUGAAAUGCGUAGAUAUCAAGUGGAACACCGGUGGCGAAGGCGCUUCUCUGGACAGAUACUGACGCUCAUGGACGAAAGCUAGGGUAGCGAAAGGGAUUAGAUACCCCUGUAGUCCUAGCCGUAAACGGUGCACACUUGUCGUGGGAGGUUUAACCCCCUUCCGUGACGGAGCUAACGCGUUAAGUGUGCCGCCUGGGGAGUACGGCCGCAAGGCUAAAACUCAAAGGAAUUGACGGGGGCCCGCACAAGCGGUGGAGCAUGUGGCUUAAUUCGAUGCAACGCGAAGAACCUUACCUGGACUUGACAUGGAAACCCUUCGGGGGCGGGUGUGAAAGCACCCUUGUUCACACAGGUGCUGCAUGGCUGUCGUCAGCUCGUGCCGUGAGGUGUUGGGUUAAGUCCCGCAACGAGCGCAACCCCUAUGUUUAGUUGUCAUCAGGUUAUGCUGGACCCUCUAAACAGACUGCCCGUGACAAGCGGGAGGAAGGUGGGGAUGACGUCAAGUCAGUAUGGUCCUUAUGUCCAGGGCUGCACACGUGCUACAAUGGGCGGUACAACGGGAAGCAAUACCGUGAGGUGGAGCCAAUCCUUAAAACCGUCCUCAGUUCGGAUUGGAGUCUGCAACUCGACUCCAUGAAGUUGGAAUCGCUAGUAAAGGUGUAUCAGCAACGACGCCUUGAAUACGUUCCCGGGCCUUGUACACACCGCCCGUCACAUCAUGGAAGCUGGCUGCACCCGAAGUCGUUGAUCCAACCCGUCAAGGGGGGAAGACGCCGAAGGUGUGGUAAGUAACUGGGAUGAAGUCGUAACAAGGUA